rnacentral:sRNA from 1 species
AAGAAAGUGACUGCUGCCCCGCACAGGGGCGAGCUAAUAGACCAUUAAGAAAACAAGUUUCAUAGGAACCUACGUGCAUCAAACGGUGUAAAACACCCCGUCCAAGCGCCAGCGCCUA